rnacentral:rRNA from 1 species
CAAUAGCGUAUAUUUAAGUUGUUGCAGUUAAAAAGCUCGUAGUUGGAUUUCGGUUGAGAGCGGCCGGUCCGCCGUUUGGUGUGCACUGGCUGGUUUCAACUUCCUGUAGAGGACGCGCUUUGGGCUUAACGGUCUGAACGUGGAGUCUACGUGGUUACUUUGAAAAAAUUAGAGUGUUCAAAGCAGGCUUUCGCUUGAAUACAUUAGCAUGGAAUAAUAAGAUAGGACUUUGGUGCUAUUUUGUUGGUUGAGCCUAAAGUAAUGAUUAAUAGGGAUAGUUGGGGGCACCUGUAUUGCGUUGUCAGAGGUGAAAUUCUUGGAUUUACGCAAGACAAACAGCUGCGAAAGCGUCUGCCAAGGAUGUUUUCAUUAA